rnacentral:rRNA from 1 species
CCCCUAGAUGUUCUGGGCCGCACGCGCGCUACACUGAACAGUUCAACAAGUCUUAACCUUGGCCGAUAGGUCUGGGUAAUCUUUGAACGCUGUUCGUGAUUGGGAUAGACCUUUGCAAUUAUGGGUCUUCAACGAGGAAUUCCUAGUAAACGCAAGUCAUCAGCUUGCAUUGAUUACGUCCCUGCCCUUUGUACACACCGCCCGUCGCACCUACCGAUUGAAUGUUCCGGUGAAUACUUCGGACUGCGAGGUCUGCAGUUUCUGCGUUCCUUGCGGAAAGUUGAAUAAACCUUAACAUUUAGAGGAAGGAGAAGUCGUAACA